rfam:Brassica napus, WGS project CCCW01000000 data, contig: 4275
CAGCCAUGUGGUGAGCACAAAGCGAACUAUUCUUUCGCCUUUUACUAAAGAAUACCGUGUGCUCUCCAUGCUUAAGUGGCAUACGCCUAUUUUUGGUGGGUUUCCACUAACAGUGGAACC